GUGCCAGCCGCGGCGGUAAUACGUAGGGUGCGAGCGUUGUCCGGAAUUACUGGGCGUAAAGAGCUCGUAGGUGGUUUGUCGCGUCGUCUGUGAAAUUCCGGGGCUUAACUCCGGGCGUGCAGGCGAUACGGGCAUAACUUGAGUGCUGUAGGGGAGACUGAAUUCCUGGUGUAGCGGUGAAAUGCGCAGAUAUCAGGAGGAACACCGAUGGCGAAGGCAGGUCUCUGGGCAGUAACUGACGCUGAGGAGCGAAAGCAUGGGUAGCGAACAGGAUUAGAUACCCUGGUAGUCCAUGCCGUAAACGGUGGGCGCUAGGUGGUGGGGUCUUUCCAUGACUUCUGUGCCGUAGCUAACGCAUUAAGCGCCCGCCUGGGGAGUACGGCCGCAAGGCUAAAACUCAAAGGAAUUGACGGGGCCCGGCACCAAGCGGCGGAGCAUGUGGAUUAAUUUCGAUGCAACGCGAAGAACCUUACCUGGGCUUGACAUACGCCGGAUCGCUGCAGAGAUGUGGUUUCCCUUGUGG
rnacentral:rRNA from 1 species